UACGUAGGGGGCAAGCGUUGUCCGGAAUUAUUGGGCGUAAAGGGCACGCAGGCGGUGGUUUAAGUUUGGUGUUUAAUCCCAGGGCUCAACCCUGGUACGCACUGAAAACUGGAUCACUUGAGUGCAGAAGAGGAGAGUGGAAUUCCACGUGUAGCGGUGAAAUGCGUAGAGAUGUGGAGGAACACCAGUGGCGAAGGCGACUCUCUGGUCUGUAACUGACGCUGAGGUGCGAAAGCGUGGGUAGCAAACAGG
rnacentral:rRNA from 1 species